rnacentral:rRNA from 1 species
CGUGUAGGCGGUCCGGUAAGUGGGAUGUGAAAUCCCCCGGCUCACCCGGGGAACUGCAUCUCAUACUGCUGGACUUGAGUGCGGGAGAGGAUGGGGGAAUUCCUGGUGUAGCGGUGAAAUGCGUAGAUAUCAGGAGGAACACCUGUGGCGAAGGCGCCCAUCUGGCCCGUUACUGACGCUAAGGCGCGAAAGCCAGGGGAGCAAACG